AACGGCUUACCAAGGCGACGAUCUCUAGCUGUUCUGAGAGGAAGAUCAGCCACACUGGGACUGAGACACGGCCCAGACUCCUACGGGAGGCAGCAGUGGGGAAUAUUGCACAAUGGGGGAAACCCUGAUGCAGCCAUGCCGCGUGUGUGAAGAAGGCCUUCGGGUUGUAAAGCACUUUCAGUUGUGAGGAAAAGUUAGUAGUUAAUACCUGCUAGCCGUGACGUUAACAACAGAAGAAGCACCGGCUAACUCCGUGCCAGCAGCCGCGGUAAUACGGAGGGUGCGAGCGUUAAUCGGAAUUACUGGGCGUAAAGCGCACGCAGGCGGUUUGUUAAGCUAGAUGUGAAAGCCCCGGGCUCAACCUGGGAUGGUCAUUUAGAACUGGCAGACUAGAGUCUUGGAGAGGGGAGUGGAAUUCCAGGUGUAGCGGUGAAAUGCGUAGAUAUCUGGAGGAACAUCAGUGGCGAAGGCGACUCCCUGGCCAAAGACUGACGCUCAUGUGCGAAAGUGUGGGUAGCGAACAGGAUUAGAUACCCUGGUAGUCCACACCGUAAACGCUGUCUACUAGCUGUGUGUGCCUUUAAGGCGUGCGUAGCGAAGCUAACGCGCUAAGUAGACCGCCUGGGGAGUACGGCCGCAAGGUUAAAACUCAAAUGAAUUGACGGGGGCCCGCACAAGCGGUGGAGCAUGUGGUUUAAUUCGAUGCAACGCGAAGAACCUUACCUACACUUGACAUGCUGAGAAGUUACUAGAGAUAGUUUCGUGCCUUCGGGAACUCAGACACAGGUGCU
rnacentral:rRNA from 1 species